UCUCCUCUCUGCACCUGCAGCUACCACCAGGCAAUGUAUCAUGAGAUAAAAUUACAUGGUGACCUUCAGAAAACUACCACUCUGCCUCAGAUCAAAUAAGGCUCAGCAGCUUGGACCUCAAGCUAAUCUUAAGCCAGAAAACAAGAGCCCAGAAGGCUCUAGCAGCAAGGAUGAAGGCCACAAGCCCCUGGGGAUGGCUCCCAGGAAAGCGCGCAACUUCUGCCUAUGAGGCUAGGACCCAGCUCCCUGGUGGCUGUACACUAGCCACAGGAAGGAUCCACCCACACGCACAGACAGCUACGUAGGCCAGCAAUCUUCUCACCCGACAGACUCAGAGAGGUUGGCUCUCAAUGGUUCCCGAGGUGCCAGAGACACAGAGGCUCUGGACUCUGACCACUCCCCAUCCCCAAGGAGGUCAGGGGGAAACGGAACCCUCUGGCAAAAUGCUUCCUGUUUCUUCCCAUCUUCAAAGCCUGAACUGGCGGAGCAUAUUCUGCUGGGGUGAGGGUGGAGAGAUGGGACACUGGGUUAGUUCUAAGCAUGGAAAGAGGGAGGUCUGACCUGCAGGGCAGGAGACUGGGCUGAGGGUCUGGGGUGAUGUCUCCUUGACUAGCACAGGGGUUAAAAGCAUGUGACUCAGCCUUGUGACCCAGCCUCUCCCAGGAUCAAGAGAAACAAAAUGUGCCCACAGAAACACUUUCUUACAAUGUUCUUAGCAUCAUUACUCCAGCAGUUCAAAGGCAGAGACAGCCCCGCCCCCUUUACCUGCGGAGUCUGUGAAGAAAAGGUGGUAUGUCUAUACAAUAAGCACUUAGCCAGCAAUGAAAAGGAAUAUGAGUCUAGUCCCUGCUGCAAUAUGGAUAAAUCUCAAACAGAUUACUCAUAAAAGGCAAUAGAUCUCGUGAUCCAUUUCUAGGAAAUGUGGAGACGAGGCUAGAUUACGGGGAAGAAAAGUGAGCAAUGGUCACCCAGGAUUGGAAGCGGAGAGUAACUGCUCCUGGGUUUGGGAUUUAUUUAAGGCUAGUGGAAAUGUUUUUGAAUUAGACUAUCACGAUGCCUACUAAAAAUUACCUUAAAAUUCCAUGUUUUACACGGGAAAAGAUGAUGGUAUGUAAAUUAUACCUUAAUAAAGUUGUUUUAAAAACAUUUUUUU